GAUUCCCCUAGUAACGGCGAGUGAAGCGGGAAGAGCUCAAAUUUGUAAUCUGGCGGUCUCUGGCCGUCCGAGUUGUAGUCUGGAGAAGCGUUUUCCGUGCCGGACCGUGUACAAGUCCCUUGGAACGGGGCGUCGUAGAGGGUGAGAAUCCCGUCUCUGACACGGACUGCCGGUGCUCUGUGAUGCGCUCUCGAAGAGUCGAGUUGUUUGGGAAUGCAGCUCAAAAUGGGUGGUAAAUUCCAUCUAAAGCUAAAUAUUGGCGAAAGACCGAUAGCGAACAAGUACCGUGAGGGAAAGAUGAAAAGCACUUUGGAAAGAGAGUUAAACAGUACGUGAAAUUGUUGAAAGGGAAACGCUUGAAGUCAGUCGCGUCUUCCGAGACUCAGCCGGGGGUCUUUUCCCCGGUGUACUUCUCGGUCCGACGGGCCAGCAUCGAUUUCGACCGUUCGAGAAAGGCUCAGGGAACGUGGCACCUCCGGGUGUGUUAUAGCCCUCUGUCGUAUGGGACGGUCGGGAUCGAGGACCGCAGCGUGCCCUUCACCGG
rnacentral:rRNA from 1 species